rnacentral:lncRNA from 1 species
CUUAUCCUAUCCCUGUCUCCCACGCCUGAUACCUCAAACAGUCAAGCCACAUAGGAGUACUGCUUACCUCGCGACGCAUCUCGGCCAGCCGCCCGUCUCCUUGGGCCGCUUGCACUGCUUGCCCAGGAGCCCGCCACCCUCUCCUCUCUUUCUCUGCUUCCAACCCUAACUCAUCGCCAUCUACUCUAUCAGAUUCAUGGGGCUCGGAAGUCUUACAGCCAGGCACAGCGGCACAGACGCACCUGGUGGGCGCGCACGGAAGACCUAGUCUGUGAGUGCGCAGGAGGGAGGCGACGGCGUGGGCUCCCUGGCCGGCGAGCCCAGAAACAGUGACGGGUGCACCCCAUCUGAUUUCGUUGAUUCAUUCUUCUUUCUGUGAUUUUGUAAUUUUUUUGUGGUUGCUGUGGAGGUCGACAAUGGCUUGUAUUUAUAGUUUGGUUGCUGUCCGAUUUUAAGUUAAAUCAUUCUCCGAUUUUGAUUUGUG